GACGAACGCUGGCGGCGUGCUUAACACAUGCAAGUCGAACGGUAAGGCUCCAGCUUGCUGGGGUACACGAGUGGCGAACGGGUGAGUAACACGUGGGUGACCUGCCCUGCACUUCGGGAUAAGCCUGGGAAACUGGGUCUAAUACCGGAUAGGACCGCACCGUGAGGGUGUGGUGAAAAGUUUUUUCGGUGUGGGAUGGGCCCGCGGCCUAUCAGCUUGUUGGUGGGGUAAUGGCCUACCAAGGCGGCGACGGGUAGCCGGCCUGAGAGGGUGGACGGCCACAUUGGGACUGAGACACGGCCCAGACUCCUACGGGAGGCAGCAGUGGGGAAUAUUGCACAAUGGGCGGAAGCCUGAUGCAGCGACGCCGCGUGGGGGAUGACGGCCUUCGGGUUGUAAACUCCUUUCACCAUCGACGAAGGGUUUCUGACGGUAGAUGGAGAAGAAGCACCGGCUAACUACGUGCCAGCAGCCGCGGUAAUACGUAGGGUGCGAGCGUCGUCCGGAAUUACUGGGCGUAAAGAGCUCGUAGGUGGUUUGUCGCGUCGUCUGUGAAAUUCCGGGGCUUAACUCCGGGCGUGCAGGCGAUACGGGCAUAACUUGAGUACUGUAGGGGAGACUGGAAUUCCUGGUGUAGCGGUGAAAUGCGCAGAUAUCAGGAGGAACACCGGUGGCGAAGGCGGGUCUCUGGGCAGUAACUGACGCUGAGGAGCGAAAGCAUGGGGAGCGAACAGGAUUAGAUACCCUGGUAGUCCAUGCCGUAAACGGUGGGCGCUAGGUGUGGGUUUCCUUCCACGGGAUCCGUGCCGUAGCUAACGCAUUAAGCGCCCCGCCUGGGGAGUACGGCCGCAAGGCUAAAACUCAAAGGAAUUGACGGGGGCCCGCACAAGCGGCGGAGCAUGUGGAUUAAUUCGAUGCAACGCGAAGAACCUUACCUGGGCUUGACAUAUACAGGAUCGCGCCAGAGAUGGUGUUUCCCUUGUGGCUUGUAUACAGGUGGUGCAUGGUUGUCGUCAGCUCGUGUCGUGAGAUGUUGGGUUAAGUCCCGCAACGAGCGCAACCCUUGUCUUAUGUUGCCAGCACGUUGUGGUGGGGACUCGUAAGAAACUGCCGGGGUUAACUCGGAGGAAGGUGGGGAUGACGUCAAAUCAUCAUGCCCCUUAUGUCCAGGGCUUCACACAUGCUACAAUGGUCGGUACAGUGGGUUGCCAGUCCGUGAGGGCGAGCUAAUCCCGCAAAGCCGGUCUCAGUUCGGAUCGGGGUCUGCAACUCGACCCCGUGAAGUCGGAGUCGCUAGUAAUCGCAGAUCAGCAACGCUGCGGUGAAUACGUUCCCGGGCCU
rnacentral:rRNA from 1 species